GUUCUUACUUCGGCAGCACAUAUACUAAAAACGGAGUGAUACAGGGAAGAGUAGCAUGGCCCUGUGCAAAGAUGACAUGCAAAUUUGUGAAUCCUUCCUGUAUUUU